rnacentral:rRNA from 1 species
UACGUAGGGUGCGAGCGUUGUCCGGAAUUACUGGGCGUAAAGAGCUCGUAGGUGGUUUGUCGCGUUGUCCGUGAAAACUCACAACUCAAUUGUGGGCGUGCGGGCGAUACGGGCAGACUGGAGUACUGCAGGGGAGACUGGAAUUCCUGGUGUAGCGGUGGAAUGCGCAGAUAUCAGGAGGAACACCUGCGGCGAAGGCGGGUUGCUGGGCUGACACUGACGCUGAGGCGCGAAAGCCAGGGAGCAAACGGG